rnacentral:lncRNA from 1 species
CUGUAGUUCACCCGAGGUCAUGGGAGGACGGCGCCCCCUCUUCCCGUAUCGGACCUCGGUCCACUCAUUUUGAGCCCUGUGGCUCAUCACUGGUGUCGCCUUUGAUAUAUAUUAAUAAACCCAAACAAAACAUUCAAUGAUGGAAAUGAAUUAAAAUCCAAAACGUGCACCGUUUGUGCUUUUAAUAGUUUUUAAAUGAAAAUAAAAUAAAAUCCAAAGCGUGCACUGUCUGUGCUUUUAAUAGUUUUUAAACAAAAAUAAACUAAACUCCAAAACGUACCCGAAGUUUGUGUUUUUAAUGUGUUUUUAAUUGUUAUUUAAUGAAUUUAUAAUGAAAAUAACUCAAAAUAAAAACCGUGAAAAUUAUCCAGAGUUUUAAUUAACUUCUAUUAAAUCCAAAAACAAAAAAGUGCCCAGUCGACGUUUCGACCAAUAAAGGUCUUCUUCAGGAUGGGCACAAAUGAAAAAAAACCUUUGAGCAGUGACCAGAUAGAUGUUGUCCCUUCGAUGGUCAAAGCAGAAAUGAGCUCUCUGUGUGCGCUCCGAGCUUUAUAACCUCGCCUGUCGGCUUAAAAAUGUGCUCGCUGUAUUUAGUUUCGUCUUUGCCCUUGAGUUUCGCUUCUGUUAACCCCUUACAUCCCGGUUACUUUUUAAUGCUCCCACAAUGUAAUUUAAUGGCAUCCCCAACCCAAUUUUAAUUAUUUUUACCAUCCCAAUUAUUUAUUUAUUUGACCUUUUCCGAUUUUUCUCCUUUUAUGUAUAUGUAAUUUAUCCCAAAUUAAAUCCAUGAAUAAUUGGUUAGGGUUAGGGCUGGCCACCGACAUCCCCUUGGUUUUAGGGUCCCCCAUGAACGGUUGGGUUUAGGGCCCAGAAAAGGUGGACGGUUGGGGUUAGGGCCAGAAAUCAAUGGUUGGGGUUAGAGCCAAAAAUCAACGGUUAGGGUUAGGGCCAAAAAUUAAGGGUUGGGGUUAAGGUUAGAGCGAAAAAAUCAAAAUGGUUAAGGUUAGGGCCAAAAAACGAAAAUGGUUAGGGUUAGGGUUAGAAAAUAAAAGAUUGGAUCCCCCCAUCCAGAACAGAUGGAGGGAUCAGAUGCACUCUCCAUCCAGGGACCUGGAACGAGUUGGGAGGAAACAUUCUCCCAAGGGGGACGAGGGGAGCAGCCAGGGGAAGCGGAAACCCACCAGACCCACCUGCAGGCACUGGCUGGGUUAGAAAAUAAAAGAUUG